CGCUCGGGGGCUUGGGUGCGCCGCGCCCACUUGGCCCGGGAGGCGGAGCCGGCAGUGGGUGCACGAGGUUUUCCAGAAAAGUCAAGCCAAGGCAGAUACAGCCUCUUCCACUUGCCCACACUCAGAGCCUUCUCGGAGUCCAAAGAGUGUUCCAUCCAUAAUAGACUUUCAGGAUCAAGCAAUUCCUGGCCAAGAAACAAAAGCAGAAUGGUCCCAUUCCCCAGGGGAUUUGGAUGAAAAGUGGUAAUGAAAUCAGGUGCAACUCCAGGAGGAAGCCCUGGAUGGAGAAGAACCAAGCUGGGUCUGUGAGGGAUCACACAGGAGAUGGCACAUAUAUUCAUGCCGCAGGAGGGUCACAUGCUCGUACCCUAUCACACUGUAAACAGCGCCACCACCUGAACAAUAGACAUGUUUUAUUGGGGAAAUGAUUUUCCUCUAUUGCUAUGCUUCUGGACAAGUAGGUUGGUUCGGUAAUAAAUAUGUGAGAUCUUU